rnacentral:rRNA from 1 species
UGGGGAAUUUUGGACAAUGGGCGAAAGCCUGAUCCAGCAAUGCCGCGUGUGUGAAGAAGGCCUUCGGGUUGUAAAGCACUUUUGUCCGGAAAGAAAUCCUUGGCUCUAAUACAGUCGGGGGAUGACGGUACCGGAAGAAUAAGCACCGGCUAACUACGUGCCAGCAGCCGCGGUAAUACGUAGGGUGCAAGCGUUAAUCGGAAUUACUGGGCGUAAAGCGUGCGCAGGCGGUUUGCUAAGACCGAUGUGAAAUCCCCGGGCUCAACCUGGGAACUGCAUUGGUGACUGGCAGGCUAGAGUAUGGCAGAGGGGGGUAGAAUUCCACGUNUAGCAGUGAAAUGCGUAGAGAUGUGGAGGAAUACCGAUGGCGAAGGCAGCCCCCUGGGCCAAAUACUGACGCUCAUGCACGAAAGCGUGGGGAGCAAACAGGAUUAGAUACCCUGGUAGUCCACGCCCUAAAACGAUGUCAACUAGUUGUUGGGGAUUCAUUUCCUUAGUAACGUAGCUAACGCGUGAAGUUGACCGCCUGGGGAGUACGUCGCAAGAUUAAAACUUAAAGGAAUUGACGGGGUCCUA